rnacentral:rRNA from 1 species
UUAAGCGACUAAGCGUACACGGUGGAUGCCCUGGCAGUCAGAGGCGAUGAAGGACGUGCUAAUCUGCGAUAAGCGUCGGUAAGGUGAUAUGAACCGUUAUAACCGGCGAUUUCCGAAUGGGGAAACCCAGUGUGUUUCGACACACUAUCAUUAACUGAAUCCAUAGGUUAAUGAGGCGAACCGGGGGAACUGAAACAUCUAAGUACCCCGAGGAAAAGAAAUCAACCGAGAUUCCCCCAGUAGCGGCGAGCGAACGGGGAGCAGCCCAGAGCCUGAAUCAGUGUGUGUGUUAGUGGAAGCGUCUGGAAAGGCGCGCGAUACAGGGUGACAGCCCCGUACACAAAAAUGCACAUGCUGUGAGCUCGAUGAGUAGGGCGGGACACGUGGUAUCCUGUCUGAAUAUGGGGGGACCAUCCUCCAAGGCUAAAUACUCCUGACUGACCGAUAGUGAACCAGUACCGUGAGGGAAAGGCGAAAAGAACCCCGGCGAGGGGAGUGAAAAAGAACCUGAAACCGUGUACGUACAAGCAGUGGGAGCACAGAGCAAUCUGUGUGACUGCGUACCUUUUGUAUAAUGGGUCAGCGACUUAUAUUCUGUAGCAAGGUUAACCGAAUAGGGGAGCCGAAGGGAAACCGAGUCUUAACUGGGCGUUAAGUUGCAGGGUAUAGACCCGAAACCCGGUGAUCUAGCCAUGGGCAGGUUGAAGGUUGGGUAACACUAACUGGAGGACCGAACCGACUAAUGUUGAAAAAUUAGCGGAUGACUUGUGGCUGGGGGUGAAAGGCCAAUCAAACCGGGAGAUAGCUGGUUCUCCCCGAAAGCUAUUUAGGUAGCGCCUCGUGAAUUCAUCUCCGGGGGUAGAGCACUGUUUCGGCAAGGGGGUCAUCCCGACUUACCAACCCGAUGCAAACUGCGAAUACCGGAGAAUGUUAUCACGGGAGACACACGGCGGGUGCUAACGUCCGUCGUGAAGAGGGAAACAACCCAGACCGCCAGCUAAGGUCCCAAAGUCAUGGUUAAGUGGGAAACGAUGUGGGAAGGCCCAGACAGCCAGGAUGUUGGCUUAGAAGCAGCCAUCAUUUAAAGAAAGCGUAAUAGCUCACUGGUCGAGUCGGCCUGCGCGGAAGAUGUAACGGGGCUAAACCAUGCACCGAAGCUGCGGCAGCGACGCUGAUGCGUUGUUGGGUAGGGGAGCGUUCUGUAAGCCUGUGAAGGUGUACUGUGAGGUAUGCUGGAGGUAUCAGAAGUGCGAAUGCUGACAUAAGUAACGAUAAAGCGGGUGAAAAGCCCGCUCGCCGGAAGACCAAGGGUUCCUGUCCAACGUUAAUCGGGGCAGGGUGAGUCGACCCCUAAGGCGAGGCCGAAAGGCGUAGUCGAUGGGAAACAGGUUAAUAUUCCUGUACUUGGUGUUACUGCGAAGGGGGGACGGAGAAGGCUAUGUUGGCCGGGCGACGGUUGUCCCGGUUUAAGCGUGUAGGCUGGUUUUCCAGGCAAAUCCGGAAAAUCAAGGCUGAGGCGUGAUGACGAGGCACUACGGUGCUGAAGCAACAAAUGCCCUGCUUCCAGGAAAAGCCUCUAAGCAUCAGGUAACAUCAAAUCGUACCCCAAACCGACACAGGUGGUCAGGUAGAGAAUACCAAGGCGCUUGAGAGAACUCGGGUGAAGGAACUAGGCAAAAUGGUGCCGUAACUUCGGGAGAAGGCACGCUGAUAUGUAGGUGAAGUCCCUCGCGGAUGGAGCUGAAAUCAGUCGAAGAUACCAGCUGGCUGCAACUGUUUAUUAAAAACACAGCACUGUGCAAACACGAAAGUGGACGUAUACGGUGUGACGCCUGCCCGGUGCCGGAAGGUUAAUUGAUGGGGUCAGCGCAAGCGAAGCUCUUGAUCGAAGCCCCGGUAAACGGCGGCCGUAACUAUAACGGUCCUAAGGUAGCGAAAUUCCUUGUCGGGUAAGUUCCGACCUGCACGAAUGGCGUAAUGAUGGCCAGGCUGUCUCCACCCGAGACUCAGUGAAAUUGAACUCGCUGUGAAGAUGCAGUGUACCCGCGGCAAGACGGAAAGACCCCGUGAACCUUUACUAUAGCUUGACACUGAACAUUGAGCCUUGAUGUGUAGGAUAGGUGGGAGGCUUUGAAGUGUGGACGCCAGUCUGCAUGGAGCCGACCUUGAAAUACCACCCUUUAAUGUUUGAUGUUCUAACGUUGACCCGUGAUCCGGGUUGCGGACAGUGUCUGGUGGGUAGUUUGACUGGGGCGGUCUCCUCCUAAAGAGUAACGGAGGAGCACGAAGGUUGGCUAAUCCUGGUCGGACAUCAGGAGGUUAGUGCAAUGGCAUAAGCCAGCUUGACUGCGAGCGUGACGGCGCGAGCAGGUGCGAAAGCAGGUCAUAGUGAUCCGGUGGUUCUGAAUGGAAGGGCCAUCGCUCAACGGAUAAAAGGUACUCCGGGGAUAACAGGCUGAUACCGCCCAAGAGUUCAUAUCGACGGCGGUGUUUGGCACCUCGAUGUCGGCUCAUCACAUCCUGGGGCUGAAGUAGGUCCCAAGGGUAUGGCUGUUCGCCAUUUAAAGUGGUACGCGAGCUGGGUUUAGAACGUCGUGAGACAGUUCGGUCCCUAUCUGCCGUGGGCGCUGGAGAACUGAGGGGGGCUGCUCCUAGUACGAGAGGACCGGAGUGGACGCAUCACUGGUGUUCGGGUUGUCAUGCCAAUGGCACUGCCCGGUAGCUAAAUGCGGAAGAGAUAAGUGCUGAAAGCAUCUAAGCACGAAACUUGCCCCGAGAUGAGUUCUCCCUGACUCCUUGAGAGUCCUGAAGGAACGUUGAAGACGACGACGUUGAUAGGCCGGGUGUGUAAGCGCAGCGAUGCGUUGAGCUAACCGGUACUAAUGAACCGUGAGGCUUAACCUU